rnacentral:misc_RNA from 1 species
AACAAAGAGUGCAAAGUUGGUCACUGAGGGCUAGUUUCUGGGAAUCCAUCAGAUCUGGCUUCCUAAAGAAUAACACAACACAGGUUAUCGAGCCACCAUCAACAGUAGAAGAGGAAGAAUCCUUACCAGAAGAGAUAGUGCUUCUUGAAAGAACUCGGCCGGAUGGGACAUUCGAGCAGAUAAUAUUUUCUACAGCUGGUGAUGUUGAUGUCUAUGACCUCCAAGCUCUUUGUGAUAAGGUUGGUUGGCCUCGGAGACCACUAACAAAAGUGGCGGCAUCAUUAAAAAAUAGCUAUCUGG